rnacentral:rRNA from 1 species
CCUGGUUGAUCUUGCCAGUAGUCAUAUGCUUGUCUCAAAGAUUAAGCUAGGUAUGUGUAAGUAUAAACUAAUUCAGACUAUGAAACUGCGAAUGGCUUAUUAAAUCAGUUAUAGUUUGUUUAAUAGUAUCUACUACUCGGAUAACUGUAGUAAUUUAGUGCUAAUACAUGCAACAAACCCUGACUUUUGGAAGUGAUGCAUUUAUUAGAUAAAAGGUCAACGUGGGCUUUGCCUGUUGCUCUGAUGAUUCAUGAUAUUUUGACAGAUCACACAGCUUUUAUGCCGAUUAUGCAUCAUUCAAAGUUUUGCAUUAUCAACUUUCAAUGGUAGGAUAGUGGCCUACUAUGGUGGUGACCGGUGAUAAAGAAUUAGGGUUCGAUUCCGGAGAAAGAGCCUAAGAAAUGACUACCACAUCCAAGGAAGGCAGCAAGAGCGCAAAUUACCUAAUCCUGACAUGAGAAGAUAGUGAUAAUAAAUAACAAUAUCGGGCUCUAUGAGUUUGAUAAUUGGAAUGAACAUAAUCUAAAUCCCUUAACGAGGAUCCAUUAGAGAGCAAGUAUGGUGUCAGGGGCCAUAGUAAUUCCAGCUCCAAUAGCAUAUAUUUAAGCUAUUGUAGUUAAAAAGCUCAUAAUUAGAACUAGGGUUGGGUCAUCUAAUCUGACUCACAGUGAGCACCAGUCUACUCUCUUUAUUGCCAAUGAUGCUCUCCAACAUUGUUACUUUGAAGAAAUUAGAGUGCUCAAAGUCAGACUACACUUGUAUACAUUAGCAUGUGAUAACACAUAGGAUUUGGGUCAUAUUGUGUUGGCCUUUAGGAUCAGAGUAAUGAUUAACAAGGAUAGUCGGGGGCAUUCGCAUUUUAUAGUCAGAGGUAAAAUUCUUGGAUUUAUGAAAGACGAACAACUGCGAAAGCAUUUACCAAGGAUGUUUUCAUUAAUCAAGAAUAAAAGUUAAGGGGUUGAAGAUGAUCAUAUACCAUCCUAGUCUCAAUCAUAAAAGAUGUUGACCAGGGAUUGACAAAUAUUACUUUUAAGACUCCAUCGACACCUUAUGAGAAAUCAAAGUCUCUAGGUUCUGAGAGGACUAUGGUCGCAAAGCUGAAACUUAAAGAAUUGCUGAAAGGGAGCCAAUAGGAGUGGAGCUUGGGGCUUAAUUUGACUCAACAUGGGAAAACUUACCAGGGCCAGACAUAAUGAGGAUUAACAGAUUGAGAGCUCUUUCUUGAUUCAAUGGGUGGUGGAGUGAUUUGUCUGGUUAAUUCUGUUAAUGAAUGAGUCCUCAAUCUACUAACUAGCUAAUGAAGGUGAUCUUUCAUAGCUAGCUUUUUAGAGGGACUAUGACUGUUUAGGCGAAGGAAGUUUAAGGUAAUAACAGGUCUGUGAUGCCCUUAAAUGUUUUGGGCUGUACGUGUGCUACAUUGAUGUGUUCAAUGAGUUUAUAGCCUUGGCUGAUAGGUAUGGGUAAUCUUUGAAAUUUUAUCAUGAUUGGGAUAGAUCACUGCAAUUGUUUAUCUUUAAUGAGAAAUUCUUAGUAAGCUCACAUUGGCCACGUCUUUGCCCUUUAUACACAUCGCUCGUCAUUCUUACCAAUUGAAUGAUCUGGUGAAGCAUUCAGAUCGUAGCAACAUGGAUGGUUUCCUGCCCAUAAUGUCAUAAGAAGUCCACUGAACCUUAUCAUUUAGAGGAAAGAGAAGUCGUAACAAGGUUUCUAUAGGUGAACCUGUGGAAG